UACGUAGGGGUCUAGCGUUGUCCGGAAUUAUUGGGCGUAAAGAGCUCGUAGGCGGUUCGGCAAGUCGGAUGUGAAAUCUCCACGCUUAACGUGGAGGGGCCAUUCGAAACUGCCGUGACUCGAGUCCGGUAGGGGAGUGCGGAAUUCCCGGUGUAGCGGUGAAAUGCGCAGAUAUCGGGAGGAACACCAGUGGCGAAGGCGACUUCCUGGCCUGUUCUUGACGCUGAGGCGCGAAAGCUAGGGUAGCAAACGGG
rnacentral:rRNA from 1 species